rnacentral:lncRNA from 1 species
UCGCCCAACUCACAUUGAAGCCUAAGACCCAGCUGAUUUCUCUUCAUUUCUGCAAAGUUACUGUACCAUGGCAGGCCAACGAACAUGUCAAAGGAGGAGCAGCAGAGCUGGCCCCGGGAAAAUGCAAGAACCUCCAAAGAGCAUUGAAGAAUUCUUAAAGUUUCAAAAUUGGGUUCUUAUAGAAAAUUGGAACGAUAUGGGGAAUUUCUAAAGAAGUACCAUAAGAAAAAAAAGAUAAUGCUUUCAGAUGAAAUGGAGACAGAGAAGAAUAUAGAGGGUUGCAGCUUCACAGGAUUCAAAGCAAAUGAACUUACUCAGCUACCCAGACAUUUGGAUGCUGAACAAAUUUAUCUUUUUAUUUUAAAAGCCCAUAAUUUUGAUGUAUGUAAAUAUUUCAUUUUAUUGUAGGAUACAUUUUGACAGUAUGAUUUAAUGAAUCAGACCUUUACUUAAAGCUAUGAUAAAUUAGGUGUUCAACAAGAUUUGAUCCUUUGGGCAUUAAAUUUGGCAGGAAAGACCAGUGAUGUGUCUAACCGCUAAUUACCAGAAAAGAAUAUAUUAA